rnacentral:tRNA from 1 species
GGCUCGGUAGCUUAGUUGGUAAAGCACUUGUCUAGCGAGCAAGGGUCGUGAGUUCAAAUCUCACCUGAGCUG